rnacentral:rRNA from 1 species
ACAUGUCUUUUUAGUAUUUAAUAUAAAGUCUGGCCUGCCCACUGAAUAAUUUGAAGGGCCGCAGUAUUUUGACUGUGCAAAGGUAGCAUAAUCAUUAGUCUUUUAAUUGAAGGCUGGUAUGAAUGGUCGGAUGAGAUAUAAGCUGUGUCAUAAAAAUUAUUAUUUGAAUUUAACUUUUUAGUCAAAAGGCUAAAAUAAAUUUAAAAGACGAGAAGACCCUAUAGAGCUUUAUAUAAUGAAUAUUUAAGUUAUUAAGAUUUAUUAAAUUUAAUUUUUGUAUUAUAUUUUGUUGGGGUGAUAAUAAAAUUUAUAAAACUUUUAUUUUUAUUUGACAUUAAUUUAUGACUAUAUGAUCCAAUAUUAUUGAUUAUAAAUUUAAGUUACCUUAGGGAUAACAGCGUAAUUUUUUUUGAGAGUUCUUAUCGACAAAAAAGAUUGCGACCUCGAUGUUGGAUUAAGAGUAAUUUUGGGUGUAGAAGUUCAAAAUUUAAGUCUGUUCGACUUUUAAAUUCUUACAUGAUC